UUCCUUCGGGGUGAUUUGUUGGACGCUAGCGGCGGAUGGGUGAGUAACACGUGGGCAAUCUGCCCUAAAGACUGGGAUACCACUUGGAAACAGGUGCUAAUACCGGAUAACAACAUGAAUCGCAUGAUUCAAGUUUGAAAGGCGGCGCAAGCUGUCACUUUAGGAUGAGCCCGCGGCGCAUUAGCUAGUUGGUGGGGUAAAGGCCUACCAAGGCAAUGAUGCGUAGCCGAGUUGAGAGACUGAUCGGCCACAUUGGGACUGAGACACGGCCCAAACUCCUACGGGAGGCAGCAGUAGGGAAUCUUCCACAAUGGACGCAAGUCUGAUGGAGCAACGCCGCGUGAGUGAAGAAGGUUUUCGGAUCGUAAAGCUCUGUUGUUGGUGAAGAAGGAUAGAGGCAGUAACUGGUCUUUAUUUGACGGUAAUCAACCAGAAAGUCACGGCUAACUACGUGCCAGCAGCCGCGGUAAUACGUAGGUGGCAAGCGUUGUCCGGAUUUAUUGGGCGUAAAGCGAGCGCAGGCGGAAUGAUAAGUCUGAUGUGAAAGCCCACGGCUCAACCGUGGAACUGCAUCGGAAACUGUCAUUCUUGAGUGCAGAAGAGG
rnacentral:rRNA from 1 species